rnacentral:ncRNA from 1 species
CGGUCGGUCUCGCGAGGGGUCGGCUGACCGGGCAGAAGUCAGCAGAGGCCAUAGUGCUGGCCGGGAGGUCGGGAAGGGC